GGCCAGAUAGCUCAGUCGGUAGAGCAGGGGACUGAAAAUCCCCGUGUCGUUGGUUCGAUUCCGACUCUGGCCA
rnacentral:tRNA from 1 species